rnacentral:rRNA from 1 species
CCUACGGGAGGCAGCAGUGGGGAAUAUUGGACAAUGGGCGAAAGCUGAUCCAGCAAUGCCGCGUGUGUGACGAAGGCCUUAGGGUUGUAAAGCACUUUCACCCGCGAGGAUGAUGACGGUAGCGGGAGAAGAAGCCCCGGCUAGUUUCCGUGCCAGCAGCCGCGGUAAUACGGAGGGGGCGAGCGUUGUUCGGAAUUACUGGGCGUAAAGGGCGUGUAGGCGGCCUUGUCAGUCAGGCGUGAAAUCCCCGGGCUCAACCUGGGACGUGCGCUUGAUACUGCAGGGCUUGAGAGCGAGAGAGGUAAGCGGAAUUCCCCAGUGUAGAGGUGAAGUUCGUAGAUAUUGGGAAGAACACCAGUGGCGAAGGCGGCUUACUGGCUCGUUUCUGACGCUGAGGCGCGAAAGCGUGGGGAGCGAACAGGAUUAGAUACCCUGGUAGUCCACGCCGUAAACGAUGUGUGCCAGACGUCGGGGGUCAGGCCUUCGGUGUCGCAGCUAACGCAUUAAGCACACCGCCUGGGGAGUACGGCCGCAAGGUUAAAACUCAAAGGAAUUGACGG